GCCCGUUGAGCUCCGUUGGUAGAGCAGCCGACUCUUAAUAGCUUCACAGCCAUUGCGAUCGGCAGGUCGUGGGUUCGAUCCCCACAAUGGGCU